CAGGAUGGGGUGAGAGGUUAAAGGCUCCCACCAGGGCGACGAUGCGAGCGACCUGAGAGGGGAUCGGCCAAUGGAACGGAGAACCGUUCAGACCCUACGGAGGCAGCAGUGGGGGAAUAUUGCACAUGGGCGAAAGGCUGAUGCAGGCAUCGCCGCGUGGAGUGAUGAAGCUUCCGGGUUGUAAAGCUCUGUCUUCAGGGACGAUAAUGACGGUACCUUGAGGAGGAAGCCACGGCUAACUACGUGGCCAGCAGCCGCGGUAAUACGUAGGUGGCAAGCGUUGUCCGGAUUUACUGGGCGGUAAAGGAUGCGUAGGCGGAUUUUUAAGUGGGAUGUGAAAUACCCGAGCUCAACUUGGGUGCUGCAUUCCAAACUGGAAGUCUAGAGUGCGGGAGAGGAGAGUGGAAUUCCUAGUGUAGCGGUGAAAUGCGUAGAGAUUAGGAAGAACACCAGUGGCGAAGGCGACUCUCUGGACCGUAACUGACGCUGAGGCAUGAAAGCGUGGGGAGCAAACAGGAUUAGAUACCCUGGUAGUCCACGCCGUAAACGAUGGGUACUAGGUGUGGGAGGUAUCGACCCCUUCCGUGCCGCCGUUAACACAAUAAGUACCCCGCCUGGGGAGUACGGUCGCAAGAUUAAAACUCAAAGGAAUUGACGGGGGCCCGCACAAGCAGCGGAGCAUGUGGUUUAAUUCGAAGCAACGCGAAGAACCUUACCUAGACUUGACAUCCCCUGCAUAACCCAGAGAUGGGCGAAGUCCUUCGGGACAGGGUGACAGGUGGUGCAUGGUUGUCGUCAGCUCGUGUCGUGAGAUGUUGGGUUAAGUCCCGCAACGAGCGCAACCCUUAUCAUUAGUUGCUACCAUUUAGUUGAGCACUCUAGUGAGACUGCCCGGGUUAACCGGGAGGAAGGUGGGGAUGACGUCAAAUCAUCAUGCCCCUUAUGUCUAGGGCUACACACGUGCUACAAUGGUGAGUACAAAGAGAUGCAAGAUCGCAAGGUGGAGCCAAACUCAAAAACUCAUCCCAGUUCGGAUUGUAGGCUGCAACUCGCCUACAUGAAGCCGGAGUUGCUAGUAAUCGCGGAUCAGCAUGUCGCGGUGAAUACGUUCCCGGGCCUUGUACACACCGCCCGUCACACCAUGGGAGUGGGUUUUACCAGAAGUAGGUAGUCUAACCGCAAGGAGGACGCUUACCACGGUAGUAUUCAUGACUGGGGUGAAGUCGUAACAAGGUAGCCGU
rnacentral:rRNA from 1 species